rnacentral:misc_RNA from 1 species
CGGGGACGCUCUCACCGAAGAAACACAACUCGUCCAAUCAUUGUCGCCUAAUUUAACCAACCUAACCAUCCACCAGGCCAUUGCCAUUCCCUAUCUCUAUAUAAGGCCUCGAUAUUGCCAAAUUAUUCUUUUCUUUUAAAUUUGAUUCUGAAGACUCUCAGUGGGCUUUAAGAAGUUUCUUCGGGGGGAAAUGGCUCGUACGAAGCAAACUGCU